rnacentral:rRNA from 1 species
GGGGAAUAUUGCGCAAUGGGCGAAAGCCUGACGCAGCGACGCCGCGUGAGGGAUGACGGCCUUCGGGUUGUAAACCUCUUUCAGUACCGACGAAGCGCUUGUGACGGUAGGUACAGAAGAAGCGCCGGCUAACUACGUGCCAGCAGCCGCGGUAAGACGUAGGGCGCGAGCGUUGUCCGGAUUUAUUGGGCGUAAAGAGCUCGUAGGCGGCUUGUCACGUCUGUCGUGAAAGACCAGGGCUUAACUCUGGUUUUGCGGUGGAUACGGGCAGGCUUGAGGCAAGUAGGGGAGAACGGAAUUCCAUGUGUAGCGGUGAAAUGCGCAGAUAUGUGGAGGAACACCGGUGGCGAAGGCGGUUCUCUGGGCUUGUUCUGACGCUGAGGAGCGAAAGCGUGGGGAGCGAAC